UGUCGGAGAGUCAGGUGGGUUAUGGUUAGUCAGGUAGGUUACAGAGAGUCAAGUAGGUUAUGGGGAGAGUCAGGUAGGUUACGGGGAGAGUCAGGUAGGUUACGGGGAGUCAAGUAGGUUAGGGAGAGAGUCAGGUAGGUUACGGAGAGUCAGGUAGGUUAUGGUCAGUCAGA